rnacentral:rRNA from 1 species
GACGUAGGGCGCGAGCGUUGUCCGGAUUUAUUGGGCGUAAAGAGCUCGUAGGCGGCUUGUCGCGUCGGCUGUGAAAUCCCGUGGCUCAACUGCGGGUCUGCAGCCGAUACGGGCAGGCUAGAGUUCGGUAGGGGAGACUGGAAUUCCUGGUGUAGCGGUGAAAUGCGCAGAUAUCAGGAGGAACACCGGUGGCGAAGGCGGGUCUCUGGGCCGAUACUGACGCUGAGGAGCGAAAGCGUGGGGAGCGGACAGG